CUGGGAACAUCAUGGCUGUGUGUAAGAAAUGAACAUAACAGGAGGGUUAACUUUAAAAACCACACGCGCUUGCCGCUUUUAAAGACCUCACGCGCUUACCGCGCGUACUUGUGCAUUUUACCGUUAAACGGACUAGCGUUAACACAAAGAGGGAUUGAGGAUGUUUGUCUACGUUAAAUAUCUAGACGACGGGUGUAAAGAGAUAGUCCCGUCUUCUAAUAUAAAGGACUUUGACAACGUAGGUAAUGGUAUUAAGACAAUUUACUGGGUGCGCUGGCAGGAGGAAUUCUUCAAGGCUCAGAUAUUGCUUCUGAAGGGUAAGUCAUACAUCUCACGCAUUUCAUUAAUUAACACCAGUUCAUUAAUACGGCCACAAUCCCAUUUAACCAUUAGUCCCAAUAUCUCCUGUUCGUAGCCUCUAAAUGGUUUGCGAACCUUAAAAUGCUAUACAAGCUACUCUUAAUACAGUUAAUGAUAAGUUAACUCUUUUAAGUACUUGCAUGCAGUGUCAUUUCCAGAGUCAAGAGAAGAAAUUGAGCAGGAGCUCGGAGGCUGCUGAAGGAGACGUCGCCGGCCACGCCCCCAUCCGAGAGAAGCGAAGCCAAAGCAGCGCAUACAAAUCAGAAAAAAGCAGUUGCAGAAGCCAAAAAAAACAACAACCUCCUGGCAAUUCUUCAAGAAAGAAAAAUUCGGAAAAGAAAUUCUCCAAUGUGCCCAACUCCCUUAAAGAAAGUCAGGGAGCGCAUCCUCUCUGACAGUUUCUCAGAGGAUGGUGAUGACAACGAUUAUGGUGGGGUUGUGCCAGAGAAGCUUUUGAAUGAGGCAAAACAACAACUCUACCAAAAUAAAUUUAAGGAAAUGUCCCUGCAACUGCAGGAAACAAGAAAACAAUUACCUUGGAAGGAGACAUCACUAUUAGGAACGAGACCUGGGUCAGAAUUACAAGGAACAACCGCGACUCCUUAUUUGUGAAGGAAUUGGCAGUGGCAAUCUGGGGCACUGAAACCCUGGGGGGAAAAAGCCUUACUGGGAAGGAGUGCCCCACCACCAAAACCACCCGACAGCCUUUAACCCCAAAGAAGCUGCAAACAUUGAAAGUCUGCUUCAAGGAGUCGCUACAGAAAAAAAACCUGGGGGAGACUGAGUUGCAGUCCAGAUGGGCAAAGGCUGGUCGUUACAUAACAGAAAAAAUUGUGGACAUAAACAAACAAACAAAAAAAACCGCUUAAUUAAUGAGUGACUGAAAUAUUUUAAGUUUUGAUGAUGUUUUAAUAGUUAAUUCUAAAUAGUUAGUAUUUGUUUGUUUCUCUGUGUUAAUAUUGUUACCAUGUUCUUUAUUAUAUGUCUGUCCUCUUUAAUAAAUGUUUUGAAAACC